rnacentral:rRNA from 1 species
CCUACGGGUGGCUGCAGUGGGGAAUAUUGGACAAUGGGGGCAACCCUGACCCAGCGACGCCGCGUGAGGGAAGAAGUAUUUCGGUAUGUAAAGUUCUAUUAUCAGGGAAGAAAGAAAUGACGGUACCUGACUAAUAAGCCCCGGCUAACUACGUGCCAGCAGCCGCGGUAAUACGUAGGGGGCAAGCGUUAUCCGGAUUUACUGGGUGGAAAGGGAGCGUAGACGGCGAAGCAAGUCUGAUGUGAAAGGCAGGGGCCCAACCCCUGGACUGCAUUGGAAACUGUUUGGCGGGAGUGCAGGAGAGGUAAGUGGAAUUCCUAGUGUAGCGGUGAAAUGCGUAGAUAUAAGGAGGAACACCAGGGGCGAAGGCGGAUUACUGGACAGUAACUGACGUUGAGGCUCGAAAGCGUGGGGAGCAAACAGGAUUAGAUACCCGAGUAGUC